rfam:Gasterosteus aculeatus cont1.012870, whole genome shotgun sequence.
UUUAAAGUGUAAUGUAAGUCGCUUUGGAUAAAAGCGUCUGUUAAAUGACCUGUA